GAGUGGAGUCAGCGAAUUGAAUGCACUAGUUCCCAAUGAUCCAUUGAAGUUAAGCACCAUUGUGUGUGGUUAGUAUCUGGAUGAUUGUCCGUCUGGGCAAUCUCGUGCUGCGUUGU
rnacentral:rRNA from 1 species